AGGACAAAUCAGUAAAGACUCAUACUUUCUCAAAUCCAGCUGAGGAAAUUCUGAGGAGCUGGGAUUCUCUUUUAGCGAGUCUAGUCCAUCUUCUGAUUCUCGUCAUUACAGGACAAGGAAACUGAGGCACGGAGCCAUCCAUGUGAACGAGUCUCGUAGUAAGCGAUGGAAGUAGGAUGCAACUCUGGUGUGAGUGCCCCGCUGUGAGCGCUACCUUUCCUCCUUCAAGCGGUAAUAAGCAGUAAAAAUAUUCAGUACCUAUUCUCCUCUGGGAAGGGAUGACACAACAGAGACAAUGGCAGAAGACAUACAUCAGAGAGAGAGAGAUUACAGUAUGCAAUCUCUCAGCUGCCAACAGAACACAGAUGGGCUUGGGAACACAGAAUGAUCCAGAUCCGCAGGACUCGAGCAAUCCGUGGGAAGUUUGGACAGAAGAUCUGAUGCAUCAGACAGUAAAGGACUAUUGAAUGUUCCAUGAUAAAUGUGCUUGUUCUUUUGCCUGCAUGCCCUUGAAUAAAGACAUUUUGAUCUCCAGGGCCAACCUGAGAAACAUAUAAUUUAAUCUAGUUUUGAAAGAAGAGCCCUGCUACACAAACACUGGCUCACAAUGUUAAAAGAUAUCAACUGAAAUAUUGAAGGGCUUUCAUAUUUCAGUAAAUUGACUAUCCUAUGUGUUUGAUAUUUCCAUUUAAUUGAAUAUUUCUUAACUCAGUGAAAAAUGUAUGAGCCUGCUAUGAUAAAUUCAGUAUUGCAUAUGGGAAUUUCGAGUAUCUUUUAUUGAAUCUUAUUUCUUGAUCUCUCUCCUUUCAAAGAGAGAUACAAAAAGACCAUUAGCCUGCUUGCUUCUGUUUUUUUCUGCCCCGUCUCCACCUUUAUUCCCAAACUGUGGUUCACACAUUUAUUUCCAUUUUUAAAAAUUUUCUCUUGCUGCUGCCAUUCUCUUAUUACUCAUUUUUUAAAUACCUAGUCCACUUUCUUUACUUUUCUUUAAUGUCUGCCUCAGAGCUCAGCUUUUCUAGUUAAUGGACGAUAUCACUAGCCUUUAGUUCUGAGAGACUGAAUACACAGUCACACCACACAUAGAAAUAGAAUUCUAACCCACAAACUGCAAUAACCAGAGCAAGACCACAGCCUCCACGGCAAUUAGCCCAAGACGGUCAGUACCUGAUCAAUAAUGGACAACUUUCACAAUUUUUAGCUGCCUUCCUCUACUUCCAACUUUGGACCAACUGAAGAGAGACAAAUAUGCUGCCUAAUUAACCUCAUAGGAUACUUUUCUUUCCGUUAUCGGGCUUCCGACUCCUCCAUACCAAUAGCCUUCAAUCAAGCAGACCCGAAGUCUUCCCUUUUUUCCAUUCUAAAGCUUUCCUACUCCUCUGCCUGCCUUUGAGUCUCUGCCAAACAUAAAUAAUGGCGGUUGACUUCCUUACUAUGCUAGCUCUGAAUAAAUAUCCUUUUCUUGUUCGCAUCUGGGUACACUUCAUUUGUUUCCAUAGUUCUUUCAUUCUGUGAACUAUCCAAUUAAAAACUUUUUAAAAUAAAUACCAUGCUCUUGGCUAUUCUGCAAUCAUCAACUCUCUUUAGCUUCUUCCUUCAAUUCCACACCUUAUCCAGAUGCAAGCUAGCUUUUAGGAAGUUUUAGGAGGUACUUUUUCACUACAUAUAUUUUAUUUGACUGAAAAAUGAUAAAAUAUCAUUUAAAUUGAAUGUACACCAACUGUGGCUCCUGAAUAAUAAAAACAUAAAUUUGUAUCCAUAAGCAUAAUAGGACAUUUAAUAAUCCUUGUUACAUAUAUUGAUGAACAUAUUCUGUAAAGUCAUUUGGUCUUGUGCCAAAUAGAAACUAUAAAAAUAUAAUGAGCUUUUUGUCAAAAACUGUUAUGUAAGGCCUUGGAAGUUUCUAGUAGUUCAGUGCUUUCUAUUCCAUUCACGUUUUUGUUGAAAUAAAAUGGAAAAGAAAAUAA